CUUGGAAACGGGGAGAAAGAUGGGGAGGGGUUCAAUUUUUUUUUUUCUUUUUCUUAUCGACUCUUCCCUCUUUACAUAUAAUUCUCUCUCUCUCUUUUUUUUUUUUCAGUUUCGGACUGCUGGGCAACUUCGUUAGCCAUGCGUGACCCUCCGGAAUAGAACAACAGACCGGGUGAUUCCCCCCGCUUUGGUGCUGUAUUAUAGUGGUACAAGACGUGUCACGCCUCCUUUUCGGCCGUUGUCAGACUGUGAUAACCAAUAGUUUUCAAGCCCCCCCCUCACCAAAAAACAACAUCAACCGAUUCGAAUUCUGAUAGCGAUCCCUUUAUGCCCUCACGAAUGUGCGUGAUUAAUAGACACAAUAAAAAAUG